rnacentral:rRNA from 1 species
UACGGAGGGUGCGAGCGUUGUCCGGAAUCAUUGGGCGUAAAGGGCGCGUAGGUGGCCCGGUCAGUUCGUGGUGAAAGCGCGGGGCUCAACCCUGCGUCGGCCAUGAAUACUGCCGCGGCUGGAGCACUGUAGAGGCAGGCGGAAUUCCGGGUGUAGCGGUGGAAUGCGUAGAUAUCAGGAGGAACACCUGUGGCGAAAGCGGCGCACUGGACCACAACUGACGCUGAGGCGCGAAAGCUAGGGGAGCAAACAGG